AGUAUUAGAUUGGCCAAAAAGCUUGUUUGGGUUUUUCCAUAAGAUGGUGUGAAAAAUUCAAACGAACUUUUUGGCCAACCCAAUG
rnacentral:miRNA from 1 species